ensembl:lncRNA
GUCUCUGCCAUAUACCAAGGUCCACUCAGAGACAGACAAAGCCAGAAGUCAGGGUCAGACAGAAACUUAGGGUGUCCUGGGCCCCAUCACUGGCACCUUUUGAAACUGGCAGCCUUUAAACAUUCAUUAAACAAAUGGAGUAAACAAUAAGAGAAGUGGAUGAAGAGCAGAGAAAGGCACCUAGUUUUGCCCCCAACUCACAAAAUGGGGAAAUUGAGGAGCAAAGUUACAAACUUAAGAAUCAAAGCAGGAUUUAGACCUGGAUAAUCUGGCUUCUUCAUUGAAAUGUUUAACUUCCAAAAGACAAAGAUGAAGUCCAUCUGCUCCAUCUCAUCUGUUACUCCCUGUGGAUCAGAACCUCUUAACCCAGAAUGUCCUCAGGGCAGAGCGUGACUCAGUUUUCCUAUGCAGGAGCAGACAAAAGGGGUGGAGCUCCCUACCCCACCUCCUCACAGACGACUGAGCAAAAAUGGAGCAGGGCUUCACUCCAAAAUCUUGUGGAUUCAGUUCUCUCUGGGGAUAACUUUGAACUUGGGGCUAGCACAAGGCAACAUCUGAAAUUCUCAGCACCCACCUCAGACAUGCUCCAGUCCAGCGAAUCUAUAGUUUUUUGUGUGUUGAUUACAUGUUGAAAGAGUAAUGUUUUAGAUGUACUAAAUUAAAUGAAAUAUACCCAU